UUGAUCUCUUCUUUUUUAUCGAAUUCAGCAUCAGUCAACUUGGGACUUUGAGGGUGCUAUUUUUCUUUUGUUUCUUUCUUUCUUUUUCUUUCUUUUGAUUUGGAUUUCUUUUGAUUUUGCACCCUCCUCUUUCUUUUUUCUCUUUUUUUUAUUUUACAUUUUUUUUAUGCCCCAGUUGGCUGUUCUGCUGAUUCUCGAGAUGCAGCUGAGUGAUCUUCUUUUCUUGCUCAAGAAGUCGGGAAAUCUCGUCAGGAAUCCCUUCAACAUCAUCUUC
rnacentral:lncRNA from 1 species